rnacentral:rRNA from 1 species
AGAGUUUGAUCCUGGCUCAGAAUGAACGCUGGCGGCGUGCUUAACACAUGCAAGUCGAACGAGAAAGGGAUUGCUUGCAAUCCUGAGUAGAGUGGCGCACGGGUGAGUAACACGUAGAUAAUCUACCUUCAAGCCUGGGAUAACUAUUCGAAAGGAUGGCUAAUACCGGAUGAAGUUGGUUGACACAAGUUGACCAAUGAAAGAUUGCCUCUUCUUGAAAGCAAUUGUUUGGAGAUGAGUUUGCGGACCAUUAGUUUGUUGGUGGGGUAAAGGCCUACCAAGACUACGAUGGUUAGCUGGUCUGAGAGGAUGAUCAGCCACACUGGAACUGGAACACGGUCCAGACUCCUACGGGAGGCAGCAGUGAGGAAUUUUGCGCAAUGGGGGAAACCCUGACGCAGCAACGCCGCGUGAGUGAAGAAGGCCCUUGGGUCGUAAAGCUCUGUCGACAGGGAAGAAAUUGAUUCAUAUUAAUAGUAUGUUUUAUUGACGGUACCUGUAGAGGAAGCACCGGCUAACUCCGUGCCAGCAGCCGCGGUAAUACGGGGGGUGCAAGCGUUAUUCGGAAUUAUUGGGCGUAAAGGGCGCGUAGGCGGUCUUGUCGGUCAGAUGUGAAAGCCCGGGGCUCAACCCUGGAAGUGCAUUUGAAACAGCAAGACUUGAAUACUGGAGAGGAGAGCGGAAUUCCUGGUGUAGAGGUGAAAUUCGUAGAUAUCAGGAGGAACACCGAUGGCGAAGGCAGCUCUCUGGACAGAUAUUGACGCUGAGGCGCGAAGGUGUGGGUAGCGAACGGGAUUAGAUACCCCGGUAGUCCACACAGUAAACGUUGUUCACUCGGUGUACCGGAUAUUAAAAUCUGGUGUGCCCAAGCUAACGUGGUAAGUGAACCGCCUGGGGAGUACGGUCGCAAGACUAAAACUCAAAGGAAUUGACGGGGGCCCGCACAAGCGGUGGAGCAUGU